AUGCGUGUUGGGUGGAGAUGCACAGCAUCGGAUUUGCGUAGCAAGGGCUUUCACAGACGCUUCAUCAAUCGUCCGCUACCGAUGUCUGAUUCCUCCUCCCCAAGCAUUUGCUGCUGUUCCGACAGCAAAGCAGGAGACGUCGUCGCGACGCCGGCCCAUCUGGCCGCUCAUCGCUGGACACUGGAGUGCCUUACAACCAUUCCUGACUCACCUGACACCGACCGCGAGAGUCGUGUGUGCCGAACGCCGUUUCCGGACGCCACGGAAACCGA
rfam:Pseudomonas sp. Chol1 Contig112, whole genome shotgun sequence.